CCCCUCCCCCCGGUUUGACACCCCCUCCCGCCCCGCUCCGCCCUCCUCCCCGCCCCGCCGGUUGUCCCUCCGUAAACGGAAGCCGAGGAGGGACGAAGGAGCCGGGGAGGAGGUUGGAGCAGCGCGAUGGGGGACUCCAAAGUGAAGGUGGCGGUGCGCGUCCGCCCCACGAACCGGCGAGCGGCCGAGAGUCAUGAAUGCCUCACAACUGGUGACUGCAGAGCUAGAAAAUGGAAUGACAACAGCUCAGCAGCCGCUUUAGAGACAGCCAGCGUGGCUUCGCCGAGGGCAAAUCGUGCCCGACUAAUCCAGCGGCCUUCCAUGAUGGAGUGACGGCAUUAGAGGACGAGGGAAGAGCUACGGAUGUCACCUGCCUGGAGGACGUCAGUGAGGCACGGACAGUUUUGCAGGCAUCCAUGAGUGAAGGACCAGAGUACCUCAAUCUGUCCCUUCAACAAUCCUUCCCCGCUCCAUGUUUUCAAUUGGAAACCGCACCAGUGAGCUCCUAAAUCCAGGCGGCGCCUCUGCAGAAGUGGAGCAAAACCAACAUGAUUCAGCAGAUGAAGCUGUAAAAUAUUCCAACCUUUGAAGUCAAGGCAGUUCAGCCCUGACCAUUCAUGUAUCUCAGAAGUACUAGGAGAUAAACGCGGGAAACAUUACACAGCUCGACUGAAAAGCAAGAUAAACCUGAAGGCAAACUUAUCGUACCAGAAUAAAACUCUUUACUCCUGGGACUGGCCAAAACAACAAUCUAUGAAAAAUGCAAAACAGCAACAGGAGGCAGGGGCUCGCAUAAAGGAAAUGUCCAGAGGCAAGACUGCAGAGCCAUGAGAAGUCAUCGCCUUCCCAGAGCCCCGAUAAAACCCGACGUUGAAGCUGAGGAUGGUUCUUUGGCCUCCGAGGAUGUCUCCGUCUUCAGAGAAGUUUGCAGAACGUAGCAACGAUCACGUGCGAAUCUGGUUUCUCUUUGGCAAUUAGAAUGGAAGAAAGGUUGAAAGGGUGACUCAACAGAAAAAACAUCACCCUCCACUUGCGGCUCAUCAUGCCCAGCUGUAAAGCGGGGAUUAUAUUUACCUCCAUUGCAAAGUACUCGGUUUCAGAAGACGUUGGUGCGGUUUGCUGAGGCCCCGGCUGGAAAAUACCACAAGAAGUUCAAAGCCCGGUUUCAUCCUGUAAUUGGAUCCUCAAGUCCACAAGUGCAAGAACCAACUGUGCGGGCUGACAGCAGGUCCUCCCCUCUUCCAACAAGAACCCCACCACAACACGGGGCUGUGGGGCUGAGCUGCAAGCGUGGCAUACCCAGGAGCUGCUACUUUCUGCUGCUAUGCACAAAAAAAUGUUGUUUAAAGCUUUUGCCACCCUGUUUGAUCUGACCUGCUGUUAUUUUUUCUUUCUUUUUUUUUUUUUUAACUCUAAGACAUCUUCUUAACUCUCAUGCUCACUUGGGAUGCUCUUAA